rnacentral:rRNA from 1 species
GCGUGAGUGAAGAAGGCCUUAGGGUUGUAAAGCUCUUUUGGCGGGGAAGAUAAUGACGGUACCCGCAGAAUAAGCCCCGGCUAACUUCGUGCCAGCAGCCGCGGUAAUACGAAGGGGGCUAGCGUUGUUCGGAAUCACUGGGCGUAAAGCGCACGUAGGCGGAUUAGUAAGUUAGGGGUGAAAUCCCGGGGCUCAACCUCGGAACUGCCCUUGAUACUGCUAGUCUAGAGUCCGAGAGAGGUGAGUGGAAUUCCUAGUGUAGAGGUGAAAUUCGU